UGGCAGGUCAGCAUACUGCCGUGAAUACGUUCCCGGGCCCUUGUACACACCGCCCGUCACACCAUGAGAGUUGGGAAUACCCGAAGCCUGUGAGCUAACUGUAAGGAGGCAGCAGUCGAAGGUAGAAUCAAUGAUUGGGGUGAAGUCGUAACAAGGUAAC
rnacentral:rRNA from 1 species